AGCGAACGCUGGCGGCAGGCCUAACACAUGCAAGUCGAACGAACUCUUCGGAGUUAGUGGCGGACGGGCGAGUAACACGUGGGAACGUGCCUUUUGGUUCGGAAUAACUCAGGGAAACUUGUGCUAAUACCGAAUGUGCCCUUCGGGGGAAAGAUUUAUCGCCAUUAGAGCGGCCCGCGUCUGAUUAGCUAGUUGGUGAGGUAACGGCUCACCAAGGCGACGAUCAGUAGCUGGUCUGAGAGGAUGACCAGCCACACUGGGACUGAGACACGGCCCAGACUCCUACGGGAGGCGGCAGUGGGGAAUCUUGCGCAAUGGGCGAAAGCCUGACGCAGCCAUGCCGCGUGAAUGAUGAAGGUCUUAGGAUUGUAAAAUUCUUUCACCGGGGACGAUAAUGACGGUACCCGGAGAAGAAGCCCCGGCUAACUCCGUG
rnacentral:rRNA from 1 species